rnacentral:rRNA from 1 species
CCUACGGGAGGCAGCAGUGAGGAAUAUUGGUCAAUGGGAGAGAUUCUGAACCAGCCAAGCCGCGUGAGGGAAGACGGCCCUAUGGGUUGUAAACCUCUUUUGUCUGAGAACAAAACCUGGGACGUGUCCCGGCCUGCGUGUAUCCGAUGAAAAAGGAUCGGCUAACUCCGUGCCAGCAGCCGCGGUAAUACGGAGGAUGCGAGCGUUAUCCGGUUUUAUUGGGUUUAAGGGGAGCGUAGGCGGUCUGUUAAGCCAGCGGUAAAAUUGCGGGGGGAAACCUUGACUGGCAGUUGAAACUGGCAGACUUGAGUAGGCGAGAAGUGGGCGGAAUGCGCGGUGUAGCGGUGAAAUGCAUAGAUAUCGCGCAGAACUCCGAUUGCGAGGGCAGUAUACAGG